ACGGUCACAUAGCGUUGAAACACCUGUUCCAGUACGAUGAUUGAAGUUAAGCAACGUCGAGCCUGGCAAGUCCCUAGAUGAGUGACCGCUUGGGAAUACCAGGUACUGUAUG